AGUGAACGCUGGCGGUAGGCCUAACACUUGCAAGUCGAACGGCAGCACAGUAAGAGCUUGCUCUUACGGGUGGCGAGUGGCGGACGGGUGAGGAAUACAUCGGAAUCUACUUUUUCGUGGGGGAUAACGUAGGGAAACUUACGCUAAUACCGCAUACGACCUACGGGUGAAAGCAGGGGAUCUUCGGACCUUGCGCGGUUGAAUGAGCCGAUGUCGGAUUAGCUAGUUGGCGGGGUAAAGGCCCACCAAGGCGACGAUCCGUAGCUGGUCUGAGAGGAUGAUCAGCCACACUGGAACUGAGACACGGUCCAGACUCCUACGGGAGGCAGCAGUGGGGAAUAUUGGACAAUGGGCGCAAGCCUGAUCCAGCCAUACCGCGUGGGUGAAGAAGGCCUUCGGGUUGUAAAGCCCUUUUGUUGGGAAAGAAAAGCAGCAGGUUAAUACCCCGCUGUUCUGACGGUACCCAAAGAAUAAGCACCGGCUAACUUCGUG
rnacentral:rRNA from 1 species